UCAACACGCACCAAAAUUAAAUAAUUGUAUAUAUUUAUAUUUGUUGUAAAUUAUAUUUGUUGUAAAUUUUUCAAUAGAAAAUGGCAAUUGAACGACUAAAGGCGUUAAAAAAUUCUUACUCGAUCAAAGAGAUCAGACGCGCAUCAGACACAAAGUACAAUUCAUACAUAACCAUGCGGAACGUAAGGAAAAAACUGAAGCAACGGGAAAAAAGCCAAAUGCGGCGGUUGGGGGUUACAGCACCUCAAAGAAAUACACCUUUCCAAGGGUUUACAACCCCUCCAAUGAACACAACACAUUUUUCAGGGUUUACAGAUCCUGCAAUGAACACAACACCUUUUUCAGGGUUUACAGCUUCUCCAAUGAAUACAUCACCUUUUUCAGGGUUUACAGAUCCUUCAAUGAACACAACACCUUUUUCAGGGUUUACAGCUUCUCCAAUGAAUACAUCACCUUUUUCAGGAUUUACAGCCCCUCAAAAUAACACAUCACCCUUCUCAGGAUUUACAGCCCCUACACAUAACCCAUCAACUUGCUCAGGAUUUACAGCCCCCCAAAACAACACAUCACCUUUCGUAGGAUUUACAGAUCCUGCAAUGAAUACGCCACUUUUCCCAGGAUUUACAGCACCCCAAAACACAUCACCUUUCUCAGGAUUUACAGCACCCCAAAACACAUCACCUUUCACUGGACUUACAGAUCCUGCAAUGAACACAUCACCUUUCCCAGGGUUAACAGCCCCUACAUUCAACACAUUAGCUUUCUCAGGGUUUACAGGGUAUACUACAGCCCCUCCAACGUUUCCCGCAUUUUCCAAUUUUCCGCCGCAAUCUUUUCCUCCCCACGAACGAUGAUUCGUUAUACUAAAUGAUCCAGAAUAGUUUCAAAAUUAUCAUCGAUUUGAUUCAAAAUUUUAUGUAAUUAUCGGAUGGCAAUACAAAUUCUCAGACAAUUCACAAAAUCUCAUCACCUAAUGGAACCGGAAGAAUAUGUUUAGUAUGUGCAAAACAAACUGCAAUAAAAGGAUGCCCGUCUUUGAUCGUAAGUGGGCUUCUGACGUUUCGUAUUGCAAACUGUGUUAUUGCCUCACGUAAUAUUACUCGAGAAAUAGAUAUUGAUGAGUCUGACAAUGUCAAUGUAAUGUAUUCCAUAUGCAACUACAUUGCCGAUAACGAUGAAGCAAUCAAUUUGGUUGAAGGUGAAAAGAUAACUGUAAUUGGUCGACAUAGUUCUGAAUGGUGGUAUGUAAAGAAGAGCAUUACCGAAGAGGAGGGCUGGGUACCAGCUCAUUAUCUAAUGGAACCCGAGGAAUAUGCCCAAUAUGUGCAAAACAAGUUGCAUGAAAAGAUUGACAAGCUGAUUGUUUAAUUGUUAAGGUCCUGGUCUAGAAGAUAAACCCACAGCACCACGUUUCAUUGAAAAACUGCAACCGAUGCACACCCAGGAUGGCUAUACAGUGCAAUUCGAGUGCAAGGUUGAGGGCAAUCCACGUCCCCAAAUCGCCUGAUUCCGAGAAACUGCAAUUAUUAAACCAUCACAAGAUUUCCAAAUGUUCUACGACGAUGAUAAUGUCUUCCCCGAGGAUGCUGAGCUUAACCGAAUUAAAUGUGGAAGGUCUACUGUCUGAUCAUGUUAGCGAUGCCACAUAAUUGUGUGGUCGUUCAAGCGUUUCAAAAUUUUUGUUUGUUUUUUUUUUUGGGACAUGAUGCGAGUUUAAUCAUUGAUUUGAUUCAAAAAUUUUUGUCAUAAAUUGAUAGCAAUACGAAUUCUCAGGCAUUUCACUUUACUUUAUUAUAAACUUAAUGAAAGUUCUUGUAAAUAUUUGCUACUCAGCCAAUUACUUGGUAAAAAGUAUAGACAAAUAAUUCCUAAGGGAAAUAAAUUUCACUUUCGUAGUGAUAUAUUUAAACAAAUAUCAUUAAGCUUUAGUUUUUGAGUAAACAUUUGCAAGACAUACACUGCCGCUACCACUGCCACUGGCAAGUUACGUUCACUCUGAGACUUGAUGAUAAGGAUGAUGAUUAUGAUGUUGACUUAAUUCUGUUAUACUCUACAGAUUAUAUCUCUUCUUCUUUGUGCAACUAAAGAAAAAAAUACUAUGGAGCACCCUAAUAUAUGUACAUAUCUAUAUAUACAUAUACGCUUUUUGAUGGGAAGGAGAUGUUUAAAUUUGAUUUCAAGUGCUAGCAUUUUGAUGGCGAAAUAAGUGAAUGCGUGCUGCGGCGGUUUACGUGUGCUUGUUAUGACCCUCAACAACUACAGGCUGGCAUCGUACUAUUGGGCAUCAGAGUGAAAUGUGUUUAAAGGCAUAAAAUAAAAACAAAAAACAAUCAACAACAACAUUGACUUCAAGUAGAUGUAGAGACGCAAAAUUAUUUGGAAGUGCGAGCCUAUGACUUCUUGCAAGUAAUCUCAUUGAAAUCGUAAAAGCCAUUUGCCAUAAUUUUAAUGGGCUUACAAUAGUUUUUAAGAUAAGUAGCUUAUCGCGAGAGUUUCUUCUUCUUCUUCCAUCCAAUUGUUAUUGUAAUCGGCUUAUAUUUAAUGUUAAAUACAUUUGAAUGGUACAAGUA